AUCACUAAUCUAAGCUAAGCUAAACUAGAAAAACAAUUAGAAGCUAAACCCUAAGCUGAAAGCUAAGCUAAUGUUAAUUGCUAAUAAUAAACACCAAAUACACGAAUCAGAUCCCUAAUCUAAGCUAAGAUAAGCUAAACUAGAAGCCUAUUAUAGAGGCAAAGCUAAUAAACACUAAAUACAAGCUAUAGAUCCCUAAUCUAAGCUAAGCUAAAGUCGAAGAAUCAUGAGAAGCUAAACCUCAUGCUAAAAGCUAAUCUAAUGCUAAUAUUACACACUAAAUACAAUGAUCAGAUCACUAAACUAAGCUAAGCUAAACUAGAAGAGUCAUUAGAAGCUAAAACCAAUGCUAAAUGUUAUGCUAAUUGCUAAUAAUAAGCACUAAAUACAAGAAUCAGAUCACUUACCUAAGCUAAGCUAAACUAGAAGAAUCAUGAGAAGCUAAACCCUAUGCUAAGCUAAUGGUAAUUGCUAAUAAAAACACUAAAAAUAAGAAUCAGGUCACCAAUAUAGGGCAGCUGUAGCCUAGUGGUUAGGGUACUGGACCAGUAAUCAGAGGGUUGAAGGUUCAAGCCCCACCUCUGCCAGGCUGCAACUGUUGGGCCCUUGAGCAAGACCCUUAACCCUCAAUUGCUUAGAUUGUGUACUGUCACAACUGUAAGUCGCUUUGGAUAAAAGCGUCUGCUAAAUGCUGAAAAUGUUAAUGUAAAUCUAAGCUAAGCUAAACUAGAAGAGUCAUUAGAAGCUAAACCCUAUGCUGAAAGCUAAGCUAAUGUUAAUUGCUAAUAAUAAACACCAAAUACACGAAUUAGAUCCCUAAUCUAAGCUAAGAUAAGCUAAACUAGAAGCCUAUUAUAGAGGCAAAGCUAAUAAACACUAAAUACAAGCUAUAGAUCCCUAAUCUAAGCUAAGCUAAAGUCGAAGAAUCAUGAGAAGCUAAACCUCAUGCUAAAAGCUAAUCUAAUGCUAAUAUUACACACUAAAUACAAUGAUCAGAUCACUAAACUAAGCUAAGCUAAACUAGAAGAGUCAUUAGAAGCUAAAACCAAUGCUAAAUGUUAUGCUAAUUGCUAAUAAUAAGCACUAAAUACAAGAAUCAGAUCACUUACCUAAGCUAAGCUAAACUAGAAGAAUCAUGAGAAGCUAAACCCUAUGCUAAGCUAAUGGUAAUUGCUAAUAAAAACACUAAAAAUAAGAAUCAGGUCACCAAUAUAGGGCAGCUGUAGCCUAGUGGUUAGGGUACUGGACCAGUAAUCAGAGGGUUGAAGGUUCAAGCCCCACCUCUGCCAGGCUGCAACUGUUGGGCCCUUGAGCAAGACCCUUAACCCUCAAUUGCUUAGAUUGUGUACUGUCACAACUGUAAGUCGCUUUGGAUAAAAGCGUCUGCUAAAUGCUGAAAAUGUUAAUGUAAAUCUAAGCUAAGCUAAACUAGAAGAGUCAUUAGAAGCUAAACCCUAUGCUGAAAGCUAAGCUAAUGUUAAUUGCUAAUAAUAAACACCAAAUACACGAAUUAGAUCCUUAAUCUAAGCUAGGCUAAACUAGAAGAAAUAUUAGAAGCUAAACCCUACUAUUAAGGCAAAGCUAACAAUAAUUGCUGAUAAUAAACACUAAAUAAAGGGUCAGAUCCCUAAUCUAAGCUAAGCAAAACUAGAAGUCAUUAGAAGCUAAAACCAAUGCUAAAGGCUAUGCUUAUUGCUAAUAAUAAACACUAAAUACAAGAAUCAGAUCACUAAUCUAAGCUAAGCUAAACUAGAAGAAACAUGAGAAGCUAAACCCUACGAUAAAAGCUAAGCUAAUCUUAAUUGCAAAUAAUAAUCUAAGCUGAGCUAAGCUAAACUAGAAGAGUAAUUAAAAGCUAAACCCUAUUAUAAAGACUAAUUUAAUUCUAAUAUUAAACAGUAAAUACAACGAUCAGAUCACUAAACUAAGCUAAGCUAAACUAGAAAAGUCAUUAGAAGCUAAAGCUUAUGCUAAAGGCUAAUCCCUAAUGCUAACUGCUAAUAAUAAACACUAAAUACAAAAAUCAGAUGCCUAAUCUAAUCUAAGCUAAACUAGAAGAAUCAUGAGAAGCUAAACCCUACGCUGAAAACUAAGCUAAUGCUAAUCGCUAUUACUCAACACUGCAAACAAGCAACAGAUCCCUGAACUAAUCUCAGCUAAACUAGAAGAAACAUGAAGCGCUAAUAAUCGCUAAGCUAUCUUACAUCUGAAUGAACCAACAACAGCUCUGUAAUUACACUGUAGGGCCAAAAGUAUGUGGACACCCGACCAUGAGCUCGCUGUCCAUACGUAUGAGGUGUGUCUGCAGGAAUUUGUGACCGUCCAGUCAAAAAAGCACUUCUAUAAUGAAGCAGUGGGCAGUGAUAGCUCAGUGGUUAAGGUACUGGACUACAGAUCAGAAGGUUGCCGGUUCAAGCCCCACCACUGCCAGGUUACCACUGCUGGGCCCUUGAGGAAGGCCCUUAACCCUCAAUUGCUUAGACUGUUUAACAGUACUGUAAGUCGCUUUGGACAAAAGCGUCUGCAAAAUGCCAGAAAUGUAAAUGUAAGGUACUGGACUACUAAUCAGAAGGUUGCUGGUUCAAGCCCCGCCAUUGCCAGGUUGCCACUGUUGGGCCCUUGAGCAAGGCCCUUAACCCUCAGUUGCUCAAAAAUCGUCGCUUCGGAUAAAAGCGUCUCCUAAAUGCCGAUUAUGUAAAGCACUGAUAUCGGCCGAGGAGGUCCAGGUCACAGUCGCCAUUCCAGUUCAUCCCAAAGGAGUUCAGUCUCUGUCCAGGCCUCCAGAUUUCCUCUACACCAAACAGUCUGUCAUACUGGAACCGAAAAUGGUUUUCCCUAAACUGCUUUAUUUAACAAAUUGUGUUAAAUUUAGUAAAAUAAAAUAUAUAUAUAAAAAAAUUAUAUAAAAUCUGACUCAGAUGUUAGACAAGAAAACCUGGCUCACAAUCAACAUCCCAAUUCACCCCAAAACGGUCUAGCAGAAAACGUGAAAUGCUAAUAAUCUCAACAACAGAAGAACAAAGGAACAAAAACUAGGAAACAUCAGAAUCCAGGAAAAGGAAACACAAGGACGACACGUGAACAAUGGAGCCAGGAGCUCUGACACAUGGAACAACAGUCCAUAAUGACCGACAAGGGAAGACAGAACGCGUUCUGAUGGAAACCUGUUUACCCGCCGAGGUUAAGGAUUAAAGUCGAGACUGCCGUGACAACUAUGCUGCUCCUGCCGGAUGUGACGGGUCUGGAGUAAUUGCACCAAGAAUGACAAGAAAUCACUACAGACUUUAUUGAAGACUAGAGCGAAGAACAACCCUAUUAUUAUUUAUCUAUUUAUUACCAGUUAUAACUUUUAGAUCAUUUAAUUCUGUGUUUGUAUGCUUUGUGUAAAUCGUGUAUUUAUUUAAAGUAUCCUGCAGGCCACCCAAGAAGGAUGGGCCCUGCUGAGUCUGGUUCCUCUCAAGGUUUCUUCCUGUAAUUUUCAGGGAGUUUUUCCUUGCCACAGUCGCCCUCGGCUUGCUCAACAGGGGUUUAUGUAUCUGUUGGUCCUGGAUUUUGUAAAGUUGCUUUGAGACAAUGUCUAUUGUAAAAAGCGCUAUAUAAAUAAAGUUGACUUGACUUGA